rnacentral:rRNA from 1 species
UACGUAGGUGGCAAGCGUUGUCCGGAUUUAUUGGGUUUAAAGGGUGCGUAGGCGGCUUUGUAAGUCAGUGGUGAAAUAUGGCAGCUUAACUGUCAGGGUGCCAUUGAUACUGCAGAGCUUGAGUACAGAUGAGGUAGGCGGAAUUGACGGUGUAGCGGUGAAAUGCUUAGAUAUCGUCAAGAACACCUAUAGCGAAGGCAGCUUACUAGGCUGUAACUGACGCUGAGGCA